GCCCUCUUAGCGCAGUAAGCAGCGCGUCAGUCUCAUAUUCUGAAGGUCCUGAGUUUGAGCCUCAGAGAGGGCA